rnacentral:rRNA from 1 species
UACGGAGGGUGCAAGCAUUAAUCGGAUUUAUUGGGCGUAAAGGGCGCGUAGGCGGUUUGUUAAGUCAGGUGUGAAAUUCCAAGGCUCAACUUUGGAGCUGCACUUGAAACUGGCAGACUAGAGGAUAGGCGGAGAAAACGGAAUUCCACGUGUAGCGGUGAAAUGCGUAGAUAUGUGGAAGAACACCGGUGGCGAAGGCGGUUUUCUAGCUUAUUCCUGACGCUAAGGCGCGAAAGCAAGGGUAGCAAACAGG